AAAUUUUAUUUCUGUUUAAAUUCUCCAUCUUUUCACUUUAAUAAUUGUUAACUACACAUUUUUAAUCCUUAUGUUUGAUCUUCUGUGAUUUGCAUUUUUGACCCUUCUUUUCCUGAUAUUGUCUUUGCAUAGCUUUAAAUGUUUUAUGUAUAUUGGACAUUGUGUAUAAACAAACCAUAAAGCCUAUGGAUGAUAUCAUUUUUCUCCAAAAAGGGCAAGCAUUUCUCUAUCAGAUAGCUAUGAUAAAGGCCAGAUCACUUCAAAGACGAAUUUAUUUGAAUUGAGGCUUAGUCACUUUACUUAAUUUGGUUUGACUACUGGUUUCUAAUAAUUCGAUGUCAAGAUUUGUUUUCUUUCCUAAUUUCCAAAACCAUGAUGGCAAUUCUUGUCCUGUAUGUAUUCUGACAUGCAGGGCUUUGGGAUCUAAGCACUGAGAGGCUAACAUCUGUCUGCUUUUCCAUCUCACACUGGCAUGUACUCAGCUAAAACCUAUGUCAGAAAAUCACAGGUAGGGAGAAUAAGUUUGGAGUUUGGAUGUUUUCCACAUACCUAUUUACCCCAUCAGACUAGGUAGCCAUUAAAGUCCCUGGUUGGUUCCUCUUACCCCUCAAGAGUUCCUCUACCUGUGACAGGCACAGUUUCCCAGCUAUACUAAGAAAAUAUCCCAUGGAGGUAAGCAGCUGCCAAUUUCAACUAAUUUUCUGAGCAUCAGUUAGUUUAGACUCUUUUGCAUGCAAAACUCUUACAUGCCUUAAAAAAUUCUGUUUGUUUUAAUAUGUAUUUUCUUUUUAGUUUUUUUACAAUGAAGUAAUGGCCUGCCAUGGUUUAUAUACCCAAACCCAAAUCUGAACUCCUGAACUGUCCUAUUUAUCAUUUGGAUACGUCACUUGCAUUGAUGAGUUUCUGAUUUCUUGGAGGGGAGUGAUUGAUUCAGAAAAAUCUUAACUGGCAUGUUACAGGCACAAAGAAUUCAAGAAGUAUUAAAAGGAGAAAAAUGUAUGCCAGGACUCCAGCAUCCUGCCCUUCCAUUAUUUCAAAGAUGAAGGAACAAGAGCAUGGAACUAGAAAGUCACAGUUCAAAAACAACAAAAAUUUGUCACAUAAUUCUGAAAGGACUGUUUUGGCUGGGAUCAAAGAGAAAUUGAAGUUUCAUUGAAAGUGGGAGAAAAGUGGUGCUCACUCCUUCAAAUGGUAAGGUCAUAACAGAUUUUAUUUUCCUCUCUGACCUAAGUGGAUGUUAGGAACAUGACUUUUGUAAAUGCUUUAGACUGUAAUUCCCUCAGCACUUUCCUUUUUAUCUGUGCUUCAAAACAUUUUCUGUCUUGGUGUGGUUUUCAGUAUUUAUAUUAGGGCUCCUAGAAAAGUCAUUUUGCAAAAAUACAUAGUUGAGGAAAUAAUGUUGCUUAAAAGGUCAUUUUUUUGGCCAAUGGGUUCACAGUAAACUUUAAAACUUUGUGUUCUUAUAAAAUCAUUUGAAGAAAAAAUGUGGUAAUAUAAUAAUUUACAAAAAUAAAUCAUUGGCUUCUGCCA
ensembl:lncRNA